GGAGGGUGCAAGCGUUACUCGGAAUUACUGGGCGUAAAGGACGCGUAGGCGGUUGAUAAGUUAGAUGUGAAAUCCUAUGGCUUAACCAUAGAACUGCAUCUAAAACUGCCAAACUAGAGUGAGGGAGAGGUCAGUGGAAUUAGUGGUGUAGGGGUAAAAUCCGUAGAGAUCACUAGGAAUACUCAUAGCGAAGGCGACUGACUGGAACUUUACUGACGCUGAGGCGUGAAAGCGUGGGGAGCAAACAGGAUUAGAUACCCUGGUAGUCCACGCCCUAAACGAUGUACACUAGUUGUUGCGAUGCAAGUCAUCGCAGUAAUGCAGCUAACGCAUUAAGUGUACCGCCUGGGGAGUACGGUCGCAAGAUUAAAACUCAAAGGAAUAGACGGGGACCCGCACAAGCGGUGGAGCAUGUGGUUUAAUUCGAAGAUACGCGAAGAACCUUACCUGGACUUGACAUCCUAUUAAUGAUUUAGAGAUAAGUUAGUGCUAGUUUACUAGAAAAUAGUGACAGGUGCUGCACGGCUGUCGUCAGCUCGUGUCGUGAGAUGUUGGGUUAAGUCCCGCAACGAGCGCAACCCUCGUCGUUAGUUGCUAACAGUUCGGCUGAGCACUCUAACGAGACUGCCUGGGUAACCAGGAGGAAGGUGAGGACGACGUCAAGUCAUCAUGGCCCUUAUGUCCAGGGCUACACACGUGCUACAAUGGUUAGGACAAUGAGACGCGAUACCGUGAGGUGGAGCAAAUCUAUAAACCUAAUCUCAGUUCGGAUAGCACUCUGCAACUCGAGUGCUUGAAGCUGGAAUCGCUAGUAAUCGUAGAUCAGCAACGCUACGGUGAAUACGUUCCCGGGUCUU
rnacentral:rRNA from 1 species